UACGCUGGCGGCACGCCUAACACAUGCAAGUCGAACGAAGUAGCAAUACUUAGUGGCAGACGGGUGAGUAACAUGUAGGUAUCUGCCCUUUGGCCUGGAAUAACACGAGGAAACUUGUGCUAAUACCGGAUAAGUCUUUACGGAGAAAGCUUUAUGCACCAUUGGAUGAGCCUGCACUUGAUUAGUUUGUUGGUGGGGUAAUGGCCUACCAAGACUGUGAUCAAUAGCUGAUUUGAGAGGAUGAUCAGCCACAUUGGGACUGAGACACGGCCCAAACUCCUACGGGAGGCAGCAGUGGGGAAUCUUGCACAAUGGAGGAAACUCUGAUGCAGCGAUGCCGCGUGAGUGAAGAAGGCCCUUGGGUUGUAAAGCUCUUUCGUCGGGGAAGAAAAUGACUGUACCCGAAUAAGAAGGUCCGGCUAA
rnacentral:rRNA from 1 species